rnacentral:rRNA from 1 species
CAAUAGCGUAUAUUAAAGUUGUUGCAGUUAAAAAGCUCGUAGUUGGAUUUGUGGCGUACGGUGUGUUCCGGGCACUUGUUGUCUGAGUAACCUGCUGUUGCCAUCCUUGGGUGGAACCUGUGUGGCAUUAGGUUGUCGUGCAGGGGAUGCCCAUCAUUUACUGUGAAAAAAUUAGAGUGUUCAAAGCAGGCUUAUGCCGUUGAAUAUAUUAGCAUGGAAUAAUGAGAUAGGACUUUUUUGCUAUUCUGUUGGUUUGCGCAAAGAGGUAAUGAUUAAUAGGGACAGUUGGGGAUAUUCGUAUUCCAUUGUCAGAGGUGAAGUUCUUGGAUUUUUGGAAGACGAACUACUGCGAAAGCAUUUACCAAGGAUGUUUUCAUUAA